CUCUUUCCUCACAACAGGAGCAGAGUUUGUUCUGCACUUCCAAGAACCACCUGUUCCCAGAUUCUGCACAAAAAGGUUAGAAGCCCAGCAAGAGACAUCAAAGGUAAUUUCUGCUGAUUGAUCUCCAUUGGUAUCUGCAGGCAUCUAGUGAAACACAGGAGGAUAAUCAGAAUUCAUGUUCAACAGCCCAUCAAACAUGCUUUGAGCUCUCCUCAGACCCAACUGCCAAACACGUUACUGAAAGAGUGCCAAAAUAAAGAUGUAUUUGGCAUAAGGAAAGAAAAUACUGCCCAGUUGUGUAAGUACCUCUUUCUGAAGGCUGCAGCAUGUCUUAGAAAAGACUAAUUGCAGAUGGAAUUUGCACAGGCACUGUUCAACUUGUCAGCCAUGGCCCAUGCCAUCUAUACAAUACACACCUCACACCAGCACAGCAAAUGAAAGACACAGUAUAUUGAGGGUGUAUUGAUGCAAGUCAAUUCCCUAAACCAUGAAGACAAUUGGAUAGGUGAAAAUAAGAGUAUUUUCCAAUUGCUGCCUGAGAUCCAUCCAUCACAGGAACAAAAUCCCACUUUAGCUACACCUGGAAACUUAAUAUAAAUAACGAUGUGCCAGUAGGUAAGCAGGAAGUUAGUAAGUAAGGUUUAAUAAUUCUACACUGUAUCCUGGCCUCAGUCUCAAUCAUUUGUCCAUAAAGAUAGACUGGUUAGAACUAGCACAGCUAACCAGCACGCAUACACUUUACUCUCCCUCAGAGCAGACCUCAGACUGCCUUGAGAAGUAACAGAUGGAAUUUUACUUUCACUUUGACAAAGCUUCAGCAAGGCACAAAAUUGAUUUAGAAGCACUUUAAUAUGCUGCUCCAGCGCCAUGUCUACACAAUCUAUAUAACCAGCCUCCUAUCUGACUGCAUUCUCUAGAACGUGCAAAGACAUAAGCUCUUCAAAUUAUCACUGUGACAGGCCAGAUUUCCUAUUAUUUACAGAUACCUAUUUCACAUAAUUUUUCAAAGACACAAGCAUACGCAAUAUAAACUAAAUAUAAAUAUAAUAGACAUGAAACAGUGACUCUUCCCGUAUACAGGGGAAAUGUGUAAUGAAAACAGGUUUUUAGGAGGCAAGGCUUCUUCUCCUGUCAACAGGCACAGGCCUGAGCAAGCCACAAGAGGGAGCACAAACACUGUUUGAAAAUGCAACAAAGAGGAGGUAGAAGAGCCAGCUCCAGGCAGCGUUUGAUGCCAAAUCUGUUGGUAAUAACCUGCAUUCUAAUUUGUACUGAAAAUCAAUUUAAUUUCCUCUCCAGCUUUAAUGCGUUACAAGUAAUUCUUCAAUACUAAUCUGGUAAGGAGAGAGAGAAAGAGAAAAAGUCAUUCAUAAUGUUUGGCUUCCACUCUGAGCCAGGCCAGAGCAGCAGGGAAAGCGGCCUUGGGUGUCAGACAAGUGGGACAAGGCGGAACCGCUUGCCUUCAGCAAAAGAAAGGGAGAUCAGCUGUGCUCUUCUCCCUCCUAAUCCUUGCUCUAGCUGCCACCGAGGGAGGGACUUGAGCAUGUGCAAGUAGCAGUCCAACUCAAAAGGGGCACCUACUGCCAACCUUUAACAGCAGCAGGAACUGGCAUCCCCACCCUCUGGGACUGAUCCAGCCUCACCCCCCUCCUCCUCUUUUCCUUUGUGAUAGACAAAAAAUAAGGCUUCUUAACUGCAGUGAAAUAGACUGUCAAAAGAAAUACCUGAUAAGAGAUAUUUCAAAACUGUGAUGUUUAUAUGUGGGUCAAACAUGAGAUUGUGAAAUCUUCUACCAUCAUAGUCAGAUUUUUCUCAUCUCUUACCUCUGAAUAUCAUUCAGUGAAAUUCCAUUCUGGAGCUGAAGGUUGUUUAUAUAAGCCAAGGAUAAAUGUAGUCCUAAAGGCUGUUCUUUCUGGAUGGCUUAGCACAAUAUAGUGCUCAAAUAUCCAUUUCACUUAGCUGUUGCAGUAUUCUAGCACGAAAUAGCAGCAGGAUACCACUAUUACGUAAAGGACAGGAGCACAAAGGAUAAUGCAUGUGACUACUGAUCUGCUGACUGAUGUAAUCAUUGUGAUAAAAGAUGAUGUGUAAGUAGUUUAAGACUUGAUUCUUGUAUAAAGUCAGAUAUAUGGAGCAUAAAACUAGAUGCUUCUGGAAGCUGAAAAAGGAGGAAGGUCACAAGGCUGUGGAGCAGACCUAAACUCACAUCACACAGUUCCUUGCCUCCAUAGGACCCAGGGCAGCAGCAAACUGCACUGGCAGGUCAAUGGACACAGCUUCAGGAUUCAUGACUGCCCCAUAACACAGGGUGAGAAGGGAUCCUUCCCCAGCAUGAAAGGGAUGUGGAAACACCUCACAAUAGAGUCUGGGAUCA